rnacentral:lncRNA from 1 species
GUCCUCACUUUGUUACCAUCUCAGCUUCCUCUGUUGACUCUCUUUGGAUAACUGCUCUUUGAAACAAAGCGUUUAAUCACCUUCUCUGCUCCAGGGUAACUCUGAGAAGCUUUUCCGGGUGGGGCAGGUUUUCCUUUGGAAGGGAAGGCGAGCAGGCAGGUCCUGGAAUCUCACAGACUCCUCAGGCAGUAGGCUCCCCAGGAAAGUCUCCUCAACGUGUUGAGAUUCCCCAGGGCAUCAGACAGCCCCAGAUUCAGUGCAAGUGCAGAGCCUGAUCUAAAGCCGCAUGGGAACGCCUUAGGGAUUAACAUGAUUGACCACUGGCCAAAUGGUUCAGCAGAUCUACAGCAACCCAGCCAGCCCCGACUAAAUGUGUGUUUGAUCCUUGGCCUCUUACAUGGUAGCCUUAAGCAGGCAAACUGCGGAUCUCAAAAUCUUGCCGAAGGCUGACUACUUCCUGCUGAGUAGACUAAGCCUCGAGGACUUCCGGUUGAAGGAAAGGCUGUCAAGACUGAAGGACUCACAACCCCGGUGGUCAAGGUGACUCAUUCCUUCUGUAAUUGACUGAGGUACUUACUGCAUCUCAAGACUCCAUCCCAUAAAACUCGAUUAGAAGGGACUUGCUCUGGAUUUUUUUUUUUUUUUUUACAUUUUUCUUACGUCGUCCAGACUUUCAAAUCAAAUGUGGACUGCCUGAAACCUUACCCAGUGGGGAGACCUCCCAGAAGAGGAGAACACGCCCUACAACUGGGAUAUCUAUUUAUAAAUCACUUAUAUUUGGGGGGUGAGUGGUGUCCA